rnacentral:lncRNA from 1 species
UCUAGCUCUCACAAACACACACAUGAUGAUGAACUCUAUACACACAUGCACGAAGGAAGAAAGACCAAAAUGGCUUUGCCAAGACAAACUUCCUUGAUGCCCAUCGUGGCUAUAUUGUGUAUCCAGCCCUCACGGCUCUCUUUCUCAUUCACCUGAUCAUCUUAAAUACCAGUACAAAAGACUCACACACGCACUGGCCAACCGCCACACUCGGCUACUAACUCCUACUAAUCCAACUAACUUGCAUGCAUCCAUGCACGCACGAUCCGGCCAACACACCGGCCACUACUCCAUCGUGAUGGUUAUCCACUAAUGACCGAAUCCACUCACAACUCCAUGCACAAAGCUAGCCAACAACCUGGACACAUCAAGUCAGCCAACCAACUGAAUAUGGCCCGACUAACUGACCGUGAUCCACGCUCCUGUAUGCAUGCGGCUAACAAUCUAUGCAUGUCAAGAUUACUACUAACAUUUUUCCUUCUAAUCUUGACUUGCCUUCGCCAGAGUUGUCGCAGCUCCCGUCGUCUUCGUCGGCACGACCGUGACCCAGCCCGCGGACCCGACCUGGCGCAAUGACGCCGGUCGCAUCGCCACGGACCUGACCUGGCGCACUGACGCCGGUCCAACCAUACUCCGUCACGUCUCCGGCGACAUACGCCGAGCUCCUCCUCUGCAGGCGACACACGCCUGACGUCCCUCUGUGCCCUGCACGUCCCGCGCGCACCCUACGUGCCCCACGAGACCGACCGCACCAGUGCGUCCCGCACGUCCCGCGCGCACCCAACGCGCCCGACCGCACCGGACACUCACCGCGCGCCGCCUCCCCGUCCGCCAUGGCAGCCGCCAGUGACAAACGCCAGAAGGAUGUAGCCGAACUCCGGCACGAACUCAAGCACAACGGCGACAUAUGCCUCCUCCCAACGUCAACCGCAUGCUCGUACGCGCGCCCGCGGUCCCGACGCGCCUGACGCAUCCAAUGCGCACCCAUAACACGCACAGGUCGCGCCCGGCUCGCCGUCGCGGCUUAUUGUCCUGCGCCGCUGCAGCUUCAACCGCAGCGCAGCACCUCCAUGCCGCCAUGCCGCGCCAUCGCUUCCUCUGCGCCACCACGCAGGUCCGCCGCGGCCGCCGCGGCUCCGUGCCACGCGCCUCCACGGUUGUCGCGCCGAGCCGCCGUGACCUCUGCGCCACCAGGCAGGUCCUCCGCGACCUCCUCGUCUCCGCGACCACCGUGCUCUUCGCGCGCACGACAUCACACCGCACAGCCGCGGACUCGCGGCGCGUCGCCGUCGCCACGCGCUCGCCGCACGCCGCGUACGCUGGGUCCGCCGCGGACGCCACCGCGCGCCACGGCCGCCCCUCGAUCUUGUGGCUCUGAUACCAAUUGUUGGCGCCGCCUCUUUGCAGCGCCGCUCUUCUUCUAACUCUCACAAACACACACAUGGUGAUGAACUCUACACACGCAUGCACACACACAUGCACCAAGGAAGAAGACCAAAAUGGCUUUGCCAAGACAAACUUCCUUGAUGCCCACCGUGGCUACAUUGUGUAUCCAGCCCUCACGGCUCUCUUUCUCAUUCACCUGAUCAUCUUAAAUACCAGUACAAAAGACUCACACACGCACUGGCCAACCGCCACGCUCGGCUGCUAACUCCUACUAAUCCAACUAACUUGCAUGCAUCCAUGCACGCACGAUCCGGCCAACACACCGGCCACUACUCCAUCGUGAUGGUUAUCCACUAAUGACCGAAUCCACUCACAACUCCAUGUACAAAGCUAGCCAACAACCUGGACACAUCAAGCCAGCCAACCAACUGAAUAUGGCCCGGCUAACU